AGAUCCGAGCCAUCUCUUGCCGGUUGUUGCACCAAGUAAAUCUAGGAUCGGAGUAGCCAAGAUCAAUUAGACCCAAAUUACUAAUGAAGUCUCUAAACUAUCUAGAGUCAAUGCUAUCCCUAGGUUGCCUGCCUCCCCUCUUCUUAUGGAAUCCUGCAAUGCAGUUAAAAUCUCCAACGAUGAGGGCAAGCACUGCAACACCAUCCUGGAGAUCUCGGACCAUAGCACCCUCC
rnacentral:lncRNA from 1 species